ACAGCAGCAGCCGCCACGGUAAUACAGAGGGUGCGAGCGUUAAUCGGAUUUACUGGGCGUAAAGCGUGCGUAGGCGGCUUUUUAAGUCGGAUGUGAAAUCCCUGAGCUUAACUUAGGAAUUGCAUUCGAUACUGGGAAGCUAGAGUAUGGGAGAGGAUGGUAGAAUUCCAGGUGUAGCGGUGAAAUGCGUAGAGAUCUGGAGGAAUACCGAUGGCGAAGGCAGCCAUCUGGCCUAAUACUGACGCUGAGGUACGAAAGCAUGGGGAGCAAACAGGAUUAGAUACCCCAGUAGUCCCUGUCUCUUU
rnacentral:rRNA from 1 species